rnacentral:lncRNA from 1 species
CUGUCCACAAGAAGUGUUUCAAGACUUUCUGAUCACCACGGCCCUUUAGCAGGUAAGUCACAUCCGCCCCCGACAGGGCUGUGUCACCCUAAUUUCCUUCCACAAGGCGAGAAGAACCUCACCUUUCCAACCUUGAAGAGGUGUGACGACGAAAAGACACCUCUCCCUACUAAUGGUCCAGACGGGUCAAACUUCAGAGGCGGCAUCCUGCACUUUGUUUUUAGCGCAGGCAAGAGGGGAAGAAGGGUUGGCGUUGGGAGCGGAAUCCCCGUGAUUUGCCAGAGGAAACGGCACCGACCAGACAGCACACACGCCAGCCUUUCCAUGCAGCUGCCACGACAGGGAGCCACCGUCUGUCUCCAUGAAAACAGUCACUGAAGUGCCUUUGAUGGUGGUGAUCUCGGAGAUAUUGUAUCUCUUUUUUUUUCAGUGAGUCUUACGGGGGAAAGACUGGAUUCAUUUUAACUCGCACAGAGAAAAAGCAUCCAGAGCCUUUCCCCUCUCUUAAAUUGAUGUCCUGCUAGGAACAGAAACUUGAUACACCUGUCCUUCAUUUUCCAUCACGUACACAGAAAUAGCGUUGAUGGUUGUGUGACUGUUCACGUAUGUGUAGUUUUAAAAAAAAACAAAAAACAGACAAGAGUGGCAUCUUUUCUCUCCUUAUUUGAGGCUUGCUUGAGUGCAGUCUGCUCAGUCGUGUCCGAACAUGCCCUAUAUAAUUAAAUGUAGCAGCCAAACAAGCCUUCGCCGUUUUCUUGGAUUUUUGCCUAUUUGCCAAAUUUUUCAAAUCAGCUUCAGCUUUAAGAAUUCUGGCGUCUGUGAUUUUCUGGUUGUCAGAAAAGAAGAGUUGGGCUAGAGUCUUUAAAUUCUGAAAUUCCGUGCCUAUGAUUUCACAAAUGUUGGCAAGUGCUGCCUAGAUUGUUUUAAAUUUUUAAACAAUAUUUGCCCCACGAUCAUAUGCACAUAAGUAAAAUGGGUUCAAGAGAAGUAUGAGCAUACACAUUUUGUAACAUCUCUAAAAUUAAUUUUGAAACCUUUUAGAAG